rnacentral:rRNA from 1 species
ACCGGNGCANGGGUGNGCAACGNGUAUGGAACCUGCCNUNUGNGGGGGAAUAGCCCAGAGAAAUUNGAAUUAAUCCCCCAUGUUNCCUUUUUAUGGCAUCAUAAUUAGGUCAAAGGNUUNGGCCGGCAGAGGAUGNCCAUGCGUACCAUUAGUUAGUUGGUAAGGUAACGGCUUACCAAGACAGCGAUGGUUAGGGGCCGUGAGAGGUGGAUCCCCCAUACUGGUAGUGAGUCACGGACCAGACUCCUACGACAGGCAGCAGUGUGGAAUAUUGGACAAUGGGCGGGAGUCUUAUCCAGCGGUGCCGCGUGCGAUAAGAACGCCCUACGGGUCGUAAACCGCUUUUAGNUUGGAAGAACUAGUUGCACGUGUGCCCCCGUGACGGUACCAUGNGAAUAAGGNCCGGCUAACUCCGUGCCAGCAGCCGCGGUAAUA